GACGAACGCUGGCGGCGUGCUUAACACAUGCAAGUCGAACGGAAAGGCCCUGCUUUUGUUUGGUUCUCGAUUGGCGAACGGGUGUGUAACACGUGAGUAACCUGCCCUUGACUUUGGGAUAACUUCAGGAAACUGGGGCUAUUACCGGAUAUGAGCUCCUGCUCCAUGUUGGGGGUUGGAGAGUUUCGGCGUUUGGGGAUGUGCUGGCGGCUUAUCCGCUUGUUGGUGGGGUAGUGGCUUACCAAGGUUUUGACGGGUAGCCUGCCUGAGAGGGUGACCGGCGAGAUAGGGACUGAGGGAAGGAGCAGACACCGACGGGAGGGAGAAGGGGGGAAUAUUGAACAAUGGGCGGAGGCGUGAUGAAGCAACGCUGCGUGCGGGAUGACGGCCUUCGGGGGGUAAAACGCAUGUGCAUGUGACGGAGCGCGAGUGACGGGAAUCGAUACAGAAGCACAGGCUAACUAAGUG
rnacentral:rRNA from 1 species